GUAUGCGUUCAGGCUGGUCGGCCGUCAUGGUCUGUACCGUUUGGAUCAUACCCCACUGUAGGAUACUCACUACUGUCCUUAACUGGGUGGUAGUAAAAGGGUGUAGUAGUGGGGGCAACUUCACUAUUAUGCUUGGGGUUCCUACUCUUUUACUUUGAGCAAAUUAGAGUGUUCAAAGCAGGCAAUCGAGCCUUGAAUACUUCAGCAUGGGAUAAUGGAACAGGACUGGGAUCCUGAUUUCGUUGGUUUCUAGGGUCUUAGUA
rnacentral:rRNA from 1 species